CCCCCAAAACAACCCAAAACAUGCUCUGCCCCCCCAAGACCUUUUCAACGUUCCUUUUACCCCCAAAACCGCCCCCGAUUUUCUUCCAGCCCCCAAAACCAAUCCCCAGGCGUAACGCCGUUUAAACCCCGCUCGAAAUGCCCAAAAUACCCUUACGUUUAAAAUUCCCCGUUAUGAGUUACCUCCUCGUCCGUACCCUGUCAUCUCUCUCUUCUGCAAGCAAACCGACUCCAGAAACCCAAUUCAAAACCCUAGCCCUAAAUCAACCGACCCCAACUCAAACCGAAUCAAAGCAAAGGGAUCAAAAUGGCCGGCGAUUCAACCCCCAAAGCCAACCUCAAUGCCGACCACAGCGAAAGCGAUUACGCCCAGCGGUUCGAAAUCUCAGAAAGAGCCCAGACAACUGCAGUGCGGGCUGAAUCUGAAGCUCGGGCUGCGAUUGGUGAUGUUCUAGAGGACAUCGCAACCAGCCAUUCUCAUCCCAGAAGCCCGCCUCAAAAUUUAAGUGUAGGCCCACGCGAAGGUCUAGAGGGCAGCACCGGCACCACCGGCGCGUCCAACGAUGCCACUAGAGCGCUCCUUGGUCUACAGAGAGGAGAAGAAGAGAAGCACGUGGCAGCACCCAAAAGAAAAAGGGCAAAGCCAGCUAUUACGUUGCGGCCCACCGCCAGCUUCGGUGCCUAUCACGACUUCAUGCAGAAUUUGGUGACGCGUAUGGGGCCAAGGCAUUUUGCGGCCUACGAAGAUAGUGUAUUCAGACACUACGUCCAAUUUGGCCCACCUGGCGUCGAUCUUCCCACCUUUGAGCACAUUUUGAGUCAGUGGGACAAGAAGAGCAAAAAAUUCGUCUUCACCGAUAGGAAUGAUGGAGAAGAGAUCCCAUGCUCAUUCAACCUUGAGUGGGUAAUGGAGCAUACAUGGUUCUCCAAUGAGGGGCUUCAUGUUGACCACAAUCGGGACAGGAAAAAUAGGAUUUGGUCCAGGUUCUUUGACAAACCCGAGGCGGGGGGUUCCAGCAGUAUAGCUCCCCCCAAAGGAGGCCCCACCAGACGCAAUGUGGAGGACCUGCUCUUGAAGCUGGUACUAUCUUCUGAUCGCCGAGAUGUGAAGGACUUUGUCCUGCUACAGAUCCUCUAUCAGCUGAGCAUGAUUUGGUGUCCAAGCAGUGUUUCCGGCGUUCCUAGGCAUUUAUUCAAGUACGUCGACAGCAUCGAACAGGUCAACAACACUGCUUGGGGGACCUAUAUAUUCAGUGAGACAUCUGACGCGAUAGAGAGGGCACUGAAGGGUCCUGAGCCAGGGAAGACGACAUUAUAUCUGCAAGGGUGUACCCCUCUAGUUUGUUUGUGGUAUUAUGAACUCACCGGCAUCAAGAAGCCAGCACUUGGUUGUACGGUGAGGCCUCCCCUGACAAAUUGGGUGAGACUUGGGCACGUUGCUGGUUCUUUGAGAUUGGCCACUGUUGUUGCGAAAGCAAGCAAAGCUACGAUAAAGCUUCCACAGCAACAUGGACAACUUCAAAGAAUCGAGGGAGGUUUUUGGGGGAAGGAGCAGGGGAUAGAGAAAGAGAAGAGGAGAGAGAGAGAGAAGAGGAGGAUUAAGGGUCCGGCUGCAGUAGACGCCGGCAGGGCUCGUGGCCCAAUAGACCUUCUUCACAAGAAGAAGAGGAGAGAAGAAGAUGACGACAUCCCAAUUGAUGCACUUGAUAUUGAUGAAGACGCCGAGCAGCCAAAUGAUGCAGUUGAGCAAAUGGAUUGGCCUCAGCAAGUUAUCUACUGGAAGAGCAUCGCGGCAAUGAACGAAUCAUUACGCCGCGAGAACGAGAAUAAAUUCAAGGGUAUGAUUGCUGCAGACCGUGUAAAGAUAAGUGCUCUUUCUGUGAAGGUGGCUAAGCUGUCUGCUCAAAAUAGAAGACUGAGAGAGGAACUAAGCGAAGCACGAUCCGGAACCCUCUCUGUAUACAAGGAUAAGAGCCCUACAGGAUUGGUGUCCAGCCCAUUGAUGGAGCCGCAAACUUGUACAGACACUCCAGGCACCGUGGGUGGCAUUGAUGUACAGUACGAUGGGGAUGUCAAUAAAUCAUUAUUAUGUGAUGAAGCUAAUAAGGAGAGCGAGGCCCCUCCAACAGGGAGGGCCUCUCCACAACCAUUGUUUUCUGAUAUCCACAAGGAGAGUGAAGAUGCUCCGCCAGGAGAAUUACCUCCACCAGAGGCAUCUGCUGUUGACAAGGCCCUUGAGGCAGAAAUAAACGAGGGAGAGAAGGUGUCCCCGCCAGCGAAGGAGCUACUAACUUGUACAGUUGGAUACGUAAUCAGUAAAAGUCUGAAGGUGUUAAUCCUGGUGAAGAUGUAUACAUAAUAUUGCGGUUAGAUGGUCGUGUUCGAAGAUCAGGGAAGGGAAUGCCUGAUUGGCAACAAAUUGUGAACGAGUUACCACCAUUGGAGGCUAUACUCAGCAAACUAGAAAGAUGAGCUCAUCGCAGUUUGUUUAUAAAUGUGCAAUUUGCCUUGAUGAAAAAUGCUACUGAUGCAAUGAAAGAAUCCUGUGUUCAGGACUUUCUCGUCCUGGUGGCAGAAGUGGAGAAGUAGAUUGAGAAAGUAAGCACACAAUUGGACAUGCUUCAGAGUAUUUUGGAUAUAUGUCAACAAUUUAUGAUCGCUCUAGUAUUUUGGAUCUAUGUCGACAACUUAUGUAUCGCUAUAGUAUUUUGGUGAAUGUAAACUUUGAAUAUAAUUGAAUUUGAUAUUAGAAUAUAAUUACAUUGUGUUGAAUAUA